rnacentral:rRNA from 1 species
UACGGAGGGUGCGAGCGUUAUUCGGAAUCACUGGGCGUAAAGGGCGCGUAGGCGGCCUGGUAAGUCAGGGGUGAAAUCCCACGGCUCAACCGUGGAAUUGUCUUUGAAACUGCUGGGCUUGGAUCCUGGAGAGGGUGGCGGAAUUCCUGGUGUAGGAGUGAAAUCCGUAGAUAUCAGGAGGAACACCGGUGGCGAAGGCGGCCACCUGGACAGGUAUCAACGCUGAGGCGCGAAAGUGUGGGGAGCAAACAGG